AUACGGGGGGUGCAAGCGUUGUUCGGAAUUAUUGGGCGUAAAGCGCGUGUAGGCGGUCUUUUAAGUCUGAUGUGAAAGCCCCGGGCUCAACCUGGGAAGUGCAUUGGAAACUGGGAGGCUUGAGUACGGGAGAGGAGAGUGGAAUUCCUAGUGUAGGAGUGAAAUCCGUAGAUAUUAGGAGGAACACCGGUGGCGAAGGCGGCUCUCUGGACCGAUACUGACGCUGAGACGCGAAAGCGUGGGUAGC
rnacentral:rRNA from 1 species